rnacentral:rRNA from 1 species
GAACCUUACCUGGCCUUGACAUGGUAGGAACCCUUAAGAGAUUAGGGGGUGCUAGCUUGCUAGAACCUACACACAGGUGCUGCACGGCUGUCGUCAGCUCGUGUCGUGAGAUGUUGGGUUAAGUCCCGCAACGAGCGCAACCCUCGUCUUUAGUUGCUAACAGUUAGGCUGAGCACUCUAAAGAGACUGCCUCCGUAAGGAGGAGGAAGGUGAGGACGACGUCAAGUCAUCAUGGCCCUUACGGCCAGGGCUACACACGUGCUACAAUGGGGCGUACAGAGAGCUGCAAUACCGCGAGGUGGAGCCAAUCUCUUAAAGCGUCUUUCAGUUCGGAUUGUUCUUUGCAACUUGAGAACAUGAAGCUGGAAUCACUAGUAAU